rnacentral:rRNA from 1 species
UGGGGAAUUUUUGACAAUGGGGGAAACCCUGAUCCAGCCAUCCCGCGUGUGCGAUGAAGGCCUUCGGGUUGUAAAGCACUUUUGGCAGGAAAGAAACGUCAUGGGUUAAUACCCCGUGAAACUGACGGUACCUGCAGAAUAAGCACCGGCUAACUACGUGCCAGCAGCCGCGGUAAUACGUAGGGUGCAAGCGUUAAUCGGAAUUACUGGGCGUAAAGCGUGCGCAGGCGGUUCGGAAAGAAAGAUGUGAAAUCCCAGAGCUCAACUUUGGAACUGCAUUUUUAACUACCGGGCUAGGGUUUGUCAGAGGGAGGUGGAAUUCCGCGUGUAGCAGUGAAAUGCGUAGAUAUGCGGAGGAACAACGAUGGAGAAGGCAGCCUCCUGGGAUAACACUGACGCUAAUGCACGAAAGCGUGGGGAGCAAACAGG